rnacentral:rRNA from 1 species
GAUGAACGCUAGCGGCAGGCUUAACACAUGCAAGUCGAGGGGUAUUGGUUUUUCGGACCAAGAGACCGGCGCACGGGUGCGUAACGCGUAUGCAAUCUACCUUUUGCAGAGGGAUAGCCCCAGAGAAAUUUGGAUUAAUACCUCAUAGUAUAGUACUUUGGCAUCAAGGAACUAUUAAAGUCACAACGGCAAAGAUGAGCAUGCGUCCCAUUAGCUAGUUGGUAAGGUAACGGCUUACCAAGGCUACGAUGGGUAGGGGUUCUGAGAGGGAGAUCCCCCACACUGGUACUGAGACACGGACCAGACUCCUACGGGAGGCAGCAGUGAGGAAUAUUGGACAAUGGGCGCAAGCCUGAUCCAGCCAUGCCGCGUGCAGGAUGACGGUCCUAUGGAUUGUAAACUGCUUUUUAUACAGGAAAGAAACACUCCGACGUGUCGGAGCUUGACGGUACUGUAAGAAUAAGGAUCGGCUAACUCCGUGCCAGCAGCCGCG